AAUCAACGCUGGCGGCGUGCCUCAGACAUGCAAGUCGAACGAUUAAAGCUCUCUUCGGAGAGUGUAUUGAGUGGCGCACGGGUGAGUAACACGUAAGUAAUCUACCUUUGAGUGGGGAAUAACCCGGGGAACCCGAGCUAAUACCGCAUAAUGCAGCGGCAUCGCAAGAUGACAGUUGUUAAAGGAGCGAUCCGCUUAAAGAGGAGCUUGCGGCAGAUUAGCUAGUUGGUAAGGUAAUGGCUUACCAAGGCUACGAUCUGUAUCCGGUCUAAGAGGACGGUCGGACACACUGACACUGAAUAACGGGUCAGACUCCUACGGAGGCAGCAGUCGGGAAUUUUGGGCAAUGGGCGAAAGCCUGACCCAGCAACGCCGCGUGAAGGAUGAAGUAUUUCGGUAUGUAAACUUCGAAAGAAUA
rnacentral:rRNA from 1 species